CCAUGCAUAAUUAGUGGGAGACGGGUGAGUAAUGCAUAGGAAUCUACCUAGUAGUAUGGGAUAGCCACUAGAAAUGGUGGGUAAUACUGUAUAAUCCCUGCGGGGGAAAGAUUUAUCGCUAUUAGAUGAGCCUAUGUUAGAUUAGCUAGUUGGUAGGGUAAAGGCCUACCAAGGCAGUGAUCUAUAGCUGGUCUGAGAGGAUGAUCAGCCUCACUGGAACUGAGGUACGGUCCAGACUCCUACGGGAGGCAGCAGUGGGGAAUAUUGGACAAUGGGCGCAAGCCUGAUCCAGCUAUGCCGCGUGAGUGAGGAAGGCCUUAGGGUUGUAAAACUCUUUCAGUAGGGAAGAUAAUGAGG
rnacentral:rRNA from 1 species